CCUACGGGGGGCUGCAGUGGGGAAUAUUGGACAAUGGGGGGAACCCUGAUCCAGCCAUGCCGCGUGUGUGAAGAAGGCCCUCGGGUUGUAAAGCACUUUCAGUGAGGAAGAACGCCUGGUGGUUAAUACCCAUCAGGAAAGACAUCACUCACAGAAGAAGCACCGGCUAACUCCGUGCCAGCAGCCGCGGUAAUACGGAGGGUGCGAGCGUUAAUCGGAAUUACUGGGCGUAAAGCGCGCGUAGGUGGCUUGAUAAGCCGGUUGUGAAAGCCCCGGGCUCAACCUGGGAACGGCAUCCGGGACUGUCAAGCUAGAGUGCAGGAGAGGAAGGUAGAAUUCCCGGUGUAGCGGUGAAAUGCGUAGAGAUCGGGAGGAAUACCAGUGGCGAAGGCGGCCUUCUGGACUGACACUGACACUGAGGUGCGAAAGCGUGGGUGGCAAACAGGAUUAGAUACCCUUGUAGUC
rnacentral:rRNA from 1 species